UACGGGGGGGGCAAGCGUUGUUCGGAAUUACUGGGCGUAAAGGGCUCGUAGGCGGCCAACUAAGUCAGACGUGAAAUCCCUCAGCUUAACUGGGGAACUGCGUCUGAUACUGGAUGGCUUGAGUUCGGGAGAGGGAUGCGGAAUUCCAGGUGUAGCGGUGAAAUGCGUAGAUAUCUGGAGGAACACCGGUGGCGAAGGCGGCAUCCUGGACCGACACUGACGCUGAGGAGCGAAAGCCAGGGGAGCAAACGGG
rnacentral:rRNA from 1 species